UACGUAGGGUGCGAGCGUUAAUCGGAAUUACUGGGCGUAAAGCGUGCGCAGGCGGUUCGUUGUGUCGGCGGUGAAAGCCCCGGGCUUAACCUGGGAAUGGCCGUUGAAACUGGCGAACUGGAGUGUGGCAGAGGAAGGUGGAAUUCCACGUGUAGCGGUGAAAUGCGUAGAGAUGUGGAGGAACACCGAUGGCGAAGGCAGCCUUCUGGGCCAACACUGACGCUCAUGCACGAAAGCGUGGGGAGCAAACAGG
rnacentral:rRNA from 1 species